rnacentral:rRNA from 1 species
UUUAACGGCCGCGGUAUCCUGACCGUGCGAAGGUAGCGUAAUCAUUUGUCUUUUAAAUAGAGACCUGUAUGAAUGGCAUAACGAGGGUUUAACUGUCUCCCUCCCCUAGUCAAUGAAAUUGAUCUGCCCGUGCAGAAGCGGACAUAAAUACAUAAGACGAGAAGACCCUAUGGAGCUUUAGACAAAAGAUCAAACAUGUAAAACAAACUAACCAAAACCAAAGGCACAAAACCGACGAUGAUCCAAUGUCUUCGGUUGGGGCGACCAUGGGGGAAAGAAAAACCCCCACGAGGACCAGGGGCAAUCCAUAAGCCAAGAAAUACACCUCUAAGCAACAGAAAUCUGACCAAAAUGACCCAGGAUAUCUGAUCAACGAACCAAGUUACCCUAGGGAUAACAGCGCAAUCCUUUCCCAGAGUCCAUAUCGACGAAAGGGUUUACGACCUCGAUGUUGGAUCAGGACAUCCUAAUGGUGCAGCCGCUAUUAAGGGUUCGUUUGUUCAACGAUUAAAGUCCU